rnacentral:rRNA from 1 species
AGAGUUUGAUGGUGGCUCAGAAUGAACGCUGGCGGCGUGCUUAACACAUGCAAGUCGAACGAGAAAGGGAUUGCUUGCAAUCCUGAGUAGAGUGGCGCACGGGUGAGUAACACGUAGAUAAUCUGCCUUCAAGCCCGGGAUAACUAUCCGAAAGGGUAGCUAAUACCGGAUGAAGUUGAAAUGCACAAGUAUUUUAAUGAAAGAUUGCCUAUCCUUGGAAGCAAUUGUUUGGAGAUGAGUCUGCGCACCAUUAGCUUGUUGGUGGGGUAACGGCCUACCAAGGCUGCGAUGGUUAGCUGGUCUGAGAGGAUGAUCAGCCACACUGGAACUGGAACACGGUCCAGACUCCUACGGGAGGCAGCAGUGAGGAAUUUUGCGCAAUGGGGGCAACCCUGACGCAGCAACGCCGCGUGAGUGAAGAAGGCCUUUGGGUCGUAAAGCUCUGUCAACUGGGAAGAAAUUAUUAUCAUUUAAUAGAUGUUAAUAUUGACGGUACCAGUGGAGGAAGCGCCGGCUAACUCCGUGCCAGCAGCCGCGGUAACACGGGGGGCGCAAGCGUUAUUCGGAAUUAUUGGGCGUAAAGGGCGCGCAUGCGGUCUUGUCAGUCA